CAAACUGUGAGAUAUGUGUGUUAAAAAAUUAAAAACUUAAAAAAAUAAAAUUUCCCACUACUUCUAUAAAAACACGUGGUGUACAUCCGCGUUCCUGUCACAAUGAAUUUUUUUUCAUAUUGAACAAAUUUUGGUUUUGUUGAUUGGACUAGUAUGAUAUUCAUAUAGAACAAGAACUGAAACCAAAUAGAACCAAUUAAAAAAAUCGAACCGAACCAAAAUCAUUUGAUUCGGUUUCAGUUUCAGUAAUUCAAGAAUCGAACUAAACCGUAUAUAUAUUAAUGUUAUUUAUUUAUUAUGUUGGAUAUUUUAUUUUUUAAACCCAAUUUCAAGCACAAUUUGUAAACCCAAAUACU
rnacentral:lncRNA from 1 species